UUUAUCAACAUGAUACAUUAAGUCUGUCUGGAAGAUAAACAAGAGGACAUAUUGCGGUGACAUACGAACUCUUUUCAAGUUGUGCAUCCUAGGAGAUAGAUUACAUGAUGCAGUGUGCCUUUUCCAGCUCAUGCCUCUGAGCUGAACUGUGAUGUCCUUCCUGAGGACAAGCUGCAUUUUAUCCCACAGCCACAGGGUCCAGGUUUCUCCCUUUUCACUUCCUUUACAUCUAUCCAAUGUUGAAGCUCCUGAACGAGUGGCACCAGAUAUUUACCUCUGCAGUGCAGAGAAGAAUCAAUCCCAUGGAAGCAAAUCCAGUAAAUAAAACUGGGAUGUUCCAAUGGGCAAUGUCUGUUCACAAAUAACAGGAAGAUGUUUCAUGUUCACCAGGAAGGUGUAAGAGCUUUGCAGAGUAGCUAAAGUCUACAUUCUUCAACAGCAUACAGCAGUUAUCAGUUAAUGAGAAGACUUGUACCCUUGUCCACACUUGCAUCACUACAGCUUCUUAAAUGAGCUGAUGUGCUGCAACUGAGGAUUAAACCAUCUCUUUCAAUAUUGCAUGCACUGCAGCACAAGUCACUCACUCCAGCAAACACAGAGGUGAUUGCAGACCUGGGAAAGUCAAGAUGAGCAGAAACCCUUGUGUG